AAGGUAUUCCCUCCGUCCCAAAUUUUUUUUCUUAGAUUUAUCUAGAUACGGAUGUAUAUAACACUACAAUGUAAAUAGAUACAUUCAUAUGUAAACAAAUCUAAUACAAGAAUUUUUAGACGGAAGGAGUAUAAU
rfam:Triticum aestivum genome assembly, contig: Triticum_aestivum_CS42_TGACv1_scaffold_333447_4BS